GCGCCGUGGCGCUCACUCCCGCGGGGAAGACUCUCGGCGACGGACCAAGAUGGCGGCGCCCGCCGACCCUCCCUCGCUUGUGGCCGGGCUUGAAAAGACUUGGGGGACAGUCGUUCGCUCCCCUGAAGGGACCCCGCAGAAAGUUCGACAGCUGAUAGACGAAGGGAUUGCAGCGGAAGAAGGCGGCGCCGACGCGAAGGAAAUAUCCGCCACACUCCAGUCAGUGAAUGGAUCACCCCAAGCAGAGCAACCUCCAUUGGAAUCUACAAGCAAAGAGGCCUAUUUCAGCAGAGUGGAAACAUUUUCCUCCCUGAAGUGGGCCGGGGAGCCCUUGGAGCUGUCUCCACUUGUCUGUGCAAAGUAUGGCUGGGUCACAGUUGAGUGUGACAUGCUCAAGUGCUCCAGCUGCCAGGCUUUUCUCUGUGCCAGUUUACAGCUGACAUUUGACUUUGACAGAUAUAAGGAACGAUGUGCUGAGCUGAAGCAAGCCUUGUGUACUGCCCACGAGAAGUUCUGUUUCUGGCCAGACAGCCCCUCUCCAGAUCGAUUUGGGAUGUUGCCAUUGGAUGAACCUACUGUUGUUCUUAGUGAAGUUCUAGGUCGUUUCCAAAGCCUUUGUCACUUGGACCUCCAGCUUCCUUCCCUGAGGCCAGAGGACUUGAAAUCUAUGUGUUUCACGGAAGACAAGAUCAGUCUUCUCCUACACCUGCUUGAAGAAGAACUUGAUCACCGAACUGAUGAGAAGAAAACUACAACCAAAUUUGGCUCUGACAUUCAAGUCCACGUCACAGCCUGUAUUCUCUCGGUGUGUGGCUGGGCGUGUAGUUCCUCCUUGGAACCAAUGCAGCUUUCCCUGUUGACGUGCUCUCAAUGUAUGCGGAAGGUGGGGCUCUGGGGCUUCCAGCAGAUUGAGUCGUCCAUGACAGACCUGGACUCGUCUUUUGGCCUCAGCAGCUCUCCUGUCCCAGGUUCUGAGAGACGGCCAGAGCGCUUCCCUCUGGUUCCUGAGUCUCCUCGGAGGAUGAUGACCCGCAGCCAGGAUGCCACGUGUUCCCCAGGCUCCGAGCAGGCUGAAAAGAGCCCAGGUCCCAUCAUCUCCCGUACUCGGAGCUGGGACUCUUCCAGUCCUGUUGACCGUCCUGAACCAGAAGCUGCUAGUCCCACCACCAGGACCCGCCCAGUGACCCGAAGCAUGGGGACCGGAGACCCUCCUGGCCUGGACGUGCCCUCUAGCCCUCUGCGGAAAGCCAAACGAGCCCGUCUCUGCUCCUCCAGCAGCUCGGACACACCUUCCUGAAGCUUCUUUGAUCCCACCUCUCAGCACAGAGAUUGGUGUCCCUGGGUGAAUGUCACACCCAGUAAGGAAACUGGAGAGAAAGGCGGAGUGGAUGGUGGCCCCGUGGGCGAGCCUGGCUGGAAGGCUGUGUUGACCACACUGCUGGCCCACACUCAGUCCAAGCAGCCUGCUGAAGCUGACUCCUUGAGUUUCUCUGAGAAGUCGAGGAAGGUAUUCCGAAUAUUCCGGCAAUGGGAAUCAUUAUGCUCAUCCUGA